rnacentral:rRNA from 1 species
CCUACGGGAGGCAGCAGUGAGGAAUAUUGGUCAAUGGACGCAAGUCUGAACCAGCCAUGCCGCGUGCAGGAUGACGGCGCUAUGAGUUGUAAACUUCUUUUGUACGAGGAUAAACCCCGAUACGUGUAUCUGGUUGAGGGUAUCGUACGAAUAAGGAUCGGCUAACUCCGUGCCAGCAGCCGCGGUAAUACGGAGGAUCCGAGCGUUAUCCGGAUUUAUUGGGUUUAAAGGGUGCGUAGGCGGGUUGAUAAGUUAGAGGUGAAAUGUCGGGGCUCAACCCCGAACGAGCCUCUAAUACGGUCGGACUAGAGAAUACUGGCGGUAGGCGGAAUGUAUGGUGUAGCGGUGAAAUGCUUAGAGAUAAUACAGAACACCGAUUGCGAAGGCAGCUUACCAACCUAUAUCUGACGUUGAGGCACGAAAGCGUGGGUAGCAAACAGGAUUAGAUACCCUUGUAGUC